rnacentral:rRNA from 1 species
UACGUAGGGUGCGAGCGUUGUCCGGAAUUAUUGGGCGUAAAGAGCUCGUAGGCGGCUUAGUAAGUCGGCGGUGAAAUACCGAGGCUCAACCUCGGCACUGCCGUCGAUACUGCUAUGGCUAGAGUUUGGUAGAGGAGAACGGAAUUCCCGGUGUAGCGGUGGAAUGCGCAGAUAUCAGGAAGAACACCUAUGGCGAAGGCAGCUCUCUGGGACGGUACUGACGCUGAGACGCGAAAGCGUGGGGAGCGAACAGG